rnacentral:rRNA from 1 species
UAACAAAAACAUUUCUAUUAGAUUUUAUUAAUAGUAUAAUCUGCUCAAUGAUAUUAAAUAGCCGCUAUUACUGUGCUAAGGUAGCAUAAUCAUUUGUCUUUUAAUUAAAGACUAGAACAAAAGAUUGAACAUUUUAAUUAAUAUAUUUAAAUUAAUUAAUUAAAUUUAUUUUAAAUGUAAAAAAACAUUUAUAAAUUAGAAAGACGAUAAGACCCUAUUAAACUUAACUUAAGUUAAACUGGGGCAGUUAAUUAAUUAUUACUUUAAUUUAAAUCAAAAAAUAAAUAGAUCCUAUAAAAUAGAUUAAAUGAUCAAGUUACUAUAGGGAUAACAGCGUAAUAUUAAUUAAAAGAUCUUAUUUAAAUAAAAGAUUACGACCUCGAUGUUGAAUUAAUAACCUAUAUAGUUGCAAUAAACAAUAAAGG